rnacentral:rRNA from 1 species
AGAACGAACGCUGGCGGCAUGCCUAAUACAUGCAAGUCGAACGAAGGCUUCGGCCUUAGUGGCGCACGGGUGCGUAACGCGUGGGAAUCUGCCCCUUGGUUCGGAAUAACAGUUGGAAACGACUGCUAAUACCGGAUGAUGACGAAAGUCCAAAGAUUUAUCGCCAAGGGAUGAGCCCGCGUAGGAUUAGCUAGUUGGUGAGGUAAAGGCUCACCAAGGCGACGAUCCUUAGCUGGUCUGAGAGGAUGAUCAGCCACACUGGGACUGAGACACGGCCCAGACUCCUACGGGAGGCAGCAGUAGGGAAUACUGGACAAUGGGCGAAAGCCUGAUCCAGCAAUGCCGCGUGAGUGAUGAAGGCCUUAGGUGUAAAGCUCUUUUACCCGAGAUGAUAAUGACAGUA